UUUGUACUCCCUCCGUCCCAAAAUUCAUGUGUUAAAUUUGUCUAAAUACGGAUGUAUCUAGUUACAUUUUAGUGUUAUAUAUAUAUAUCCAUAUCUAAACAAAUGUAAGACGAGAAUUUUGGGACGGAGGGAAUACUAC
rfam:Triticum aestivum genome assembly, contig: Triticum_aestivum_CS42_TGACv1_scaffold_132551_2BL